UAGCCAUGGUAUGGGCAAGGGAGAAAUAAGUCCUUGAACCGUUCCUAACAUUCGAAAAAAAGUUUCAUCUCUUUUUUGGGAGAAGUUCAUUAUGUCUUGAUUGAGAGU